AUUGAACGCUGGCGGCAGGCUUAACACAUGCAGGUCGAGCGGGGAAAGGUAGCUUGCUACCUGACCUAGCGGCGGACGGGUGAGUAAUGCUUAGGAAUCUGCCUAUUAGUGGGGGACAACAUUCCGAAAGGAAUGCUAAAACCGCAUACGCCCUACGGGGGAAAGCAGGGGAUCUUCGGACCUUGCGCUAAUAGAUGAGCCUAAGUCAGAUUAGCUAGUUGGUGGGGUAAAGGCCUACCAAGGCGACGAUCUGUAGCGGGUCUGAGAGGAUGAUCCGCCACACUGGGACUGAGACACGGCCCAGACUCCUACGGGAGGCAGCAGUGGGGAAUAUUGGACAAUGGGCGAAAGCCUGAUCCAGCCAUGCCGCGUGUGUGAAGAAGGCCUUUUGGUUGUAAAGCACUUUAAGCGAGGAGGAGGCUACCGAGAUUAAUACUCUUGGAUAGUGGACGUUACUCGCAGAAUAAGCACCGGCUAACUCUGUGCCAGCCGCCGCCGUAAAAC
rnacentral:rRNA from 1 species